rnacentral:rRNA from 1 species
UACGUAGGUGGCAAGCGUUGUCCGGAAUUAUUGGGCGUAAAGCGCGCGCAGGCGGUUCUUUUAAGUCUGAUGUGAAAGCCCACGGCUCAACCGUGGAGGGUCAUUGGAAACUGGGGGACUUGAGUACAGAAGAGAAGAGUGGAAUUCCACGUGUAGCGGUGAAAUGCGUAGAGAUGUGGAGGAACACCAGUGGCGAAGGCGACUCUUUGGUCUGUAACUGACGCUGAGGCGCGAAAGCGUGGGGAGCAAACAGG